ACGAGUUUUUUUCGGUUGAUACCGGAAACUCCCACCCUUGUGUAUUUUCGUUGAAAAGCAGCUUCGGCGGGCCGUCAGAGAGCGUAGUGAUAUAUGGUCUUGACAUCGGCUCUAUGCGGAUUUGCGUCCGCCGAAGAACCAACUCUUUACAAUUUGAAGUCUGAUAAUCCAAGAAAAUAAAUCA
rnacentral:misc_RNA from 1 species